rnacentral:lncRNA from 1 species
UAGCCUGAUCAGUUAGACCAACUAGUGAGUUUUUAAACUGUCAUUGCACUACUCCACUCUGUAUAUUAAACCUUAUUUUCUUCUAAAACCUUAGAUCCACUCUUAUCACAACAUUCUCAGUGAAGAUCUGAUCACUAGCAUUUUCAAAGUUCCUUCUUUUUCUUCCCUUCUUAUCAUUUCUGUUUUCUUGAUUUCUCAAGAAAAAACAAUCCAUUUUUUCAUCAUCCUCUUCUUCAAUGGAGAAAGUACAUUUCAGAACUGAAGUCCUCAGCAGACACCUAAGUCAAGAAACUCCAAUACUCAAUCCAAUGCUCCAAUCAUUCCCAUGUCUUAGCUAUAACCCACCUGAGCUUUCAGAACCAUCUUCUGUUUUUGACAUAAAAGAGAUGAGAAAGCUAAUGGAUGGUCACAAUUUUGAUGAAAGGGACUGGCUUUUUGGUCUGAUGUUACAGAGUAAGCUUUUUAACCCAAUAAAAAAGGGUGGAAAAGUGUUUGUUUCCCCUGAUUACAGUCAAUCUAAGGAACAACAAAGGGAAAUUACCAUGAGGAGGAUUGAGUACCUUGUGGAACAUGGGGGUAUCAAGGAAUGGCUUACUGGUAAAGGGUCUGAAAAUGAAUUGAGGAACUUAGCUCGUGCGGAGUGUGUUAGCAUCUUUGAUUAUUCACUUGGCAUCAAGCUUGGAGUCCAUUUGUUCCUAUGGUAUGUUUUUGUUCAUUAUAUGCCUAUUCUUUUAUAUCCGGAGCUUAGUGGCCGGACAAAUUCGAUACCUAUCAGGUAGGUCCCCCUAAGGGAGAAGUUAUCCAUUUCGAGGCUUAAACCCGAGACCUAUGGUUAAGAUAGGGACAUAGGGUUAAGCGUGGAGCCCACUAAGACAUAAAUUUUUCUUUCCCAAGAGUUAGGUCAAGGGUUAGACCUCUAGUUAAGUUCUUCAUUUCCAAGACUUAGUAGAAUCCGACUCCUGUGUUUAAGAGGUGGGAGAUUCCAAGGCUGUAUAAACCCCACAUUAAAUUAUAUUGCAAUACCAAUACCUUGCAAUGGACCACAACAAACCACCAAGCUUAGCAUCCGUCGUUCUAGACGGCUCCACAGUCGGCAGCUUUCACUAGGUAGGUCAGGGCACAGAGGGUGUUUGGUGGAUUUGAUAUCAUUAGUACAAUCCAGAGAGAAUCAUACUUCAAAAGCUAGCUAUUGAGGUGUGGGUAUCCAAGGCUAUAUAAAUCCCACAUCAGCAUAUCGCAAUACGGAUACCGAUGUGGGACUCAAGUUCCAUGCCUUGUAAUGGACCAUACCAUGUUCUCCAUUCCCAAGGCUUAAACCUGAGACCUUGGUUAAAUGUGGAGCCUACUAAGAGAGAAAUUCAUUUUACCACAUCUAUUGGUUGUUCUUUUUCUUGUUUGUUAGAUACAAUUUUAGUAAUCUCUUGCUUAUUACUUACUACAACAACAACAUACCCAAUGUAUUCCCACCUAGUGGGGUGUGGGGAGGGUAGAGUGUACGCAGACCAUACAACUACCUCAAGAGAAGUAGAAAGGCAUAUAAACUAGUGUGGUACACAAAACAAACUAACAGUAUAACAAACACAAAAGAUAAGCGCAUAAUAAACUAGUACGGGAUGCAAAAAAGCCAACACCACUAGCCCCAAAAACUACAGCCACAAACACUACAGACCAGAAACUUCAGACCCAAAUGAGCACUCCCCUAUUACUACCGCCGCACUCCCACCCCCUAACCCUCUACCCUAAUCCGCGUCCUCCACACCUUUCUAUCAAGGAUCAUGUCCUCUGUAAGCUGUAAUUGCUCCAUAUCAUGCCUAAUCACCUCCCUUCAAUAUUUUUUCGGUCUACCUCUAGCCCGCCUAAAACCAUCCAUAGCUAGAGUCUCACACCUCCGCACUGGAGCAUUAGGGCCCCUUCUCAUCACAUGCCCGAACCAACGUAGCCUCACUUCUCGCAACUUAUCCUCCACCGAGGCAACUCCCACCUUACUUAAUGUUCAAAUUAGGUAAAUAAAGCUGGUUCUGUCCUUGAUAUACAAUUUAAGGAAAACGUGUUCCUCUUUCAUCAAUCGUAUUAGUUUUACAAUUGAAUAACUUAUUUCCUAACUCACUAUCAAACAUUGUAUAACUUAUACAAAAAUUCAUACAUAUAUAAGUUGCUUCUUUACUAGCUACCAAACGAACCCUGAAUAUUUUUGUUGUGAAUUAAAUAUGAGAUAAAUUAAUCUGACAUUUUUAAAAAUUAUAUGUCACCUAGCCCACCAACCUUAACUUUGGAGUAUAGCUAAUAACAUUUCUGUUUUCUUGAUUUCCCAUACAAAAUCAAUCCAAUUUUUCAUCCUCUUCUCUUUUCUUGGUGGUCUGAAUUAUAAUACACCAUUUCCUCUUAACUUAUACAUAUAUUAGCUGUACAAGUUUCUAAAUUGCAAAACCUAACGUCAUAUUAGUUUAAACAUGAGAAAUUUAUUUCCUAUUUUGAGCUAGUGAAGUGCAUCAAGGAGGAGGAUGAUACAGUAUUGGUUGAGGAUGUCCUCAUUAGGAAGAGGUGGCAGUCCUAUUUUCAUAAACUUUUGAACGAUGAGGGGAACAAAGGUUUCGUGCUGGGGGACUUGGAGAAUUCUGAGAGGUGUCGCGAUAAUGGUUAUUGUAGGCGUACCAAGGUUGAGGAGGUCAAGGGGGGCUAUUCGCAGGAUGCGUAGGGGGAGGGUGACUGAGCCAGACAAGAUUCCGGUGGAUUUUUGGAAGAGCACUGGCGGGAAAGGUUUGGAGUGGUUGAUAAGGUCGCGUUUAACAUCAUUUUCUGGGCGGCGAAGGUGUCCAAGUGUGGAGGUGGAGUACAAUGAUUCCAUUAUAUAAUAACAAGGGGGACAUCCAGAGUUGCAACAACUAUAGGGGUAUCAAGUUGUUGAGUCCUACUAUAAAGAUUUGAGAAAGGGUGGUAGAGUUGAGGCUGAUGAGGGUUGUGACUGUCUCUGAGAAUCAGUUCGGUUUCAUGUCAGGUCGCUCGACUACUGAGGCCAUUCACCUUAUGAGAAGAUUAGUGGAGCAGUUUCGGGAGAGGAAGAAGGACUUGCACAUGGUGUUCAUUGAUCUUGAGAAGCAUAUGACAGAGUUCCCAGGGAGAUUUUAUGGAGGUGCUUGGAGGCUAGAGGGGUGCCUGUGGCGGACACUAGGUCGAUUCAGGUAAUGUAUGAUGGCGCGAAGACUCGCGUGAGAAUGGUAGGUGGAGAUUCGGAGCACUUUCCGAUUUUGAUAGGGUUGCACUACGGAUCGACUCUUAGCCCAUUUUUAUUUUCUUUGGUGAUGGAUGUUUUGACGCGACGUAUUCAAAGGGAGGUGCCUUGGUGUAUGUUAUUUGCUGAUGAUGUGGUUUUGAUUGACGAGACUCGGGGAGAAGUUAAUGAUAAGUUGGAGAUUUGGAGAUAGACCCUUGAAUCUAAAGGAUUUCGGUUGAGCAGGACCAAGACGGAGUAAUUGGAAUGUAAGUUUAGUGAUGUUUCGCAGGAGGUUGACAUGGUAGUGAAACUAGAUUCUCAGGCUAUUCAGAAAAGGGAGAGUUUCAAGUAUCUGGGGUCGAUGAUUCAAGGGAUUGGUGAGAUUGACAAGGAUGUCACACUCCAUAUUGGUGCAAGGUGGUUGAAAUAGAGACUUGCUUCGGGAGUUUUAUGUGAUAAGAAGGUGCCUCCAAAGCUGAAAGGUAAGUUCUACAGAGUGACAGUCAGACUGGCUCUAUUGUAUGGAGUGGAGUGUUGGCCAGUUAAGAACUUCCGCAUUCAAAUGUUAAAGGUGGCGGAGAUGAGGAUGUUGCGAUGGAUGCGUCCCCUUAUCGGGAAAGAUAGGGUGAGGAAUGAGAUUAUUCGGGAGAAGGCGAGAGUGACUUCGGUAGAGGACAAGAUAAGAGACGUGUGGUUACGUUAGUUCGGGCACGUGAUGAGGAGGGACUUGGAUGCUCCAAUACGGAGAUGUGAGACAUUGGCUAUAGAUGGUUUUAGGCGGGGUAAAGAUACUGGAGGGAGGUGAUUAGGCAUGAUAUGGAGCAGUUACAGCUUACGGAGGACAUGACCCUUGAUAGGAAGGUGUAGAAAACGCGGAUUAGGGUAGAGGUUUAGGGGGUGCGAUUGUGUUGGUAGUAGUAGGGGAGAGUACUUUGUUUGUGUCUGGAAUUUCUUGUUCGUGGUGUUUGAGUGACGUCUAUGAUUUCGAAUAGAUAAUUUAUAGUAUUAUCUUAUGGUUGAAGGGGAGCCUUGGAGUAACCGGUAAAGUUGCUGUCAUGUGAUCAGGAGGUCACGGGUUCAAGCCUUGGAAACAGCCUCUGGCAGAAAUGUAAGGUAAGACUGUGUGCGAUACACCCUUGUGGUGGGGCCCUUCCCUGGACACUGCACUAGUUAGUGCACCGGGCUGCCCCAUUUUAGUAUUAUCUUAUUGUUGUAUUGUUUCCUGUAUUAGCUAGUAGUGUUAGUUUAUUUUGUAUAUUGCAUUAGUUUAUAUGCAUUUAUGUUUUGUGUUUGUUAUACUGUUGUCGGUCCUGAGUCGGGGGUCUAUCGGAAACAGUCUCUCUAUUUCACCUAAGGUAGUGGUAUGGUCUGCGUAUACUCUACCCUCUCUACCCUCCCCAGACCCCUCUAUGUGGGAAUACACUAAGUAUGUUGUUGUUGUAGCUACCAAACAUUGUAUAACUUAUACAAAAAUUAAUACAUGAAUAAGUUGCUGCUCUACUAGCUACCAAACGACCCUAGAAUGUUUAUUAUUGUUGUUGUGAAUUAAAUAUGAGAUAAAAUGAUCUGAGAUUCUUUUUUAAUUAUUAGUCACCUAGCCCACCAACCUUAACUUUGGAGUAUAGCUAAGCAGCCAGAUCAGCAGGGCUGUGCAAAAAUCGAACCGAUCGAUAAAAAUGUUAUUGGGUUAUUGGUAUUGGGUUAUCGGGUUAACUGUUUUUUAUUGGUUUUAUAAAAAAAUUUAUUGGGUAAACGGUUCAGUAUCGGUUGUAGCUUAUUGACCGAUAACCCAAUAAGGAUACACUUAGUUAUUGUUUUAUCCCUAUUUAUGUUAUAUAUUUAAAUAUCUCUCUCUCUUUAUCUAUCUAUAUAGAUUAUAUGCACUACUAAUUCAUAAUUCAGUGAUUCACAAAGUAUUAACCUAUUCAGAGCAACAAAGACACAAUAUAAAGUUCGGCUAUUAUCGUAAUAAAAAGCUUGAAGCAUUUAUAACUUCCAACAAUUAGGAUUCAAUUUUUUUCCUAACUAACAUUCAAUUCAAGUUUGAAGAUUCCAUUGCGUAGGUUUUGGCGGUAAUUAAGAUUUUAUUUUUUUAUGUUAGUUGUUACUAUUGUUAUUUUAUAAGUAUUUUCUUAUUGGUUAAAUUGAAAACCGAACCAUUAAGGACCAAAAACUGAUAAACCGAAACCGAUAAGAAAAUAUCUUAUUGGUUGGUUAUUGGUUUUACAUAUUUAAAAACCGAAAACCGAACCAAUAACACUUAAAACCUAACCGAACCGACCGAAGCCCACCCCUACAGAUCAGUUAGAUCAACUAGUGAGUUUUCACACUGUCGCCAUGUCACCACGCUACACUGAAUUUGAACCUAUACGAAAAAUGCUAUAAGUUGCAAACCAAACGUCGUAUUGGUUUUACACAGGAAUAGCUUAUUUCCUAACUAACUACCAAACAUUGUAUUAACACAAAAGUUACUUCCUGAAUAAGUUGCUUCUUUAGGUGCUACCAAACGACUCCUAAAUGUUUAUUAUUGUUCUUAUGAAUUAAGCAUGUGACAAAAGAAUCUGACAUUCUUUUUUAAUUAUUAAUCACCUUGCCCACCAACCUGAGCUUUGGAGUAUAGCUAAGCAGCCAGAUCAGUUAGACCAAAUAGUGAGUUUUUAAACUUUCAUUCCACCACUCUACAUUGUAUAUUAAACCUUAUUUUCUUCAAAAACCUUAGAUAUUCUUCUUUAAUUAUUAAUCACCUAGCCCACCAACCUGAACUUUGGAGUAUAGCUAAGCAGCCAGAUCAGUUAGACUAAAUAGUGAGUUUUCAAACUGUCAUUUUACCACUCUACACUGUAUAUUAAACCUUAUUUUCUUCUAAAACCUUAGAUAUUCUUCUUUAAUUAUUAAUCACCUAGCCGCCAACACCAACCUGAACUUUGGAGUAUAGCUAAGCAGCCAGAUUAGUUAAGACCAACUAGUGAGUUUUUAAACUGUCAUUUAACCACUCUUCACUAUAUAUUAAACCUUAUUUUCUUCUAAAACCUUAAAUCCAUUCUAUCACAACAUUCUGAUUGAAGAUCCAAUCACUAACAUUUUCAAAGUUCCUUCCUUUUUUCCCCCUCUUAUCAUUACUGUUUUCUUGAUAUCUCAUGGAAAAUCACUCCAUUUUUUCAUCAUCCUCUUCUUCAAUGGAGAAAGUACAUUUUAGAACUAAAGUCCUCAGCAGACACCUAAAUCAAGAAACUCCCAUACUCAAUGCAAUGCACCAAUCAUUCCCAUGUCUUAGCUACAACCCACCUGAGCUUUCAGAACCAUCUUCUGUUUUUGACAUAAAAGAGAUGAGAAAGCUCAUGGAUGGGCACAAUUUGGAGGAAAGGGACUGGUGUUUUGGUUUGAUGUUAAAGAGUAAGCUUUUUAACCCAAUAAAAAGGGGUGGAAAAGUGUUUGUUUCCCCUGAUUACAAUCAAUCUAAGGAACAACAAAGGGAAAUUACCAUGAGGAGGAUUGAGUACCUUGUGGAACAUGGGAGUAUUGAGAAAUGGUUUACCGGUAAAGGGCCUGAAAAUGAAUUGAGGAACUUUGCUCGCGGAGAGUGUGCUAGUAUCUUUGAUCAUUCACUUGGCAUCAAGCUUGGAGUCCAUUUGUUCCUAUGGUAUGUUUUUGUCCAUUAUAUGCCUAUUUUUUAAUAUCCGGAGGUUAGUGGCCGGACAAAUUCGAUACCUAUCCGGUAGGUCCCACCCAAGGGAGAAGUUACCCAUUUCGAGGCUUAAAACCCGAGAUCUAUGGUUAAGGUAGAGGCAUCGGAUUAAGCGUGCAGCCCACUAAUAGAUAAAUUCAUCAUUCCCAAGAGUUGAACCCUUGACCUAUGGUUAAGGGUUAGACCUCUAGUUAAGAAGUUUUUCAUUUCCAAAACUUAGUAGAACCCGACUCAUGUAUUUAUUCUUCAUUCCCAAGAGUUGAACCCCUGAUUAAGGAUUAGACCUCCAGUUAAGAAGUUCCUCAUUUCCCAGACUUAGUAAAACCCGACUCACGUGGUUAAGUGUAAGACCUUUGGUUAAGUGUGAAGGGAUCAUAUCCACCACCACACCUCUUGGUGGUUUGAAUGAUAAAUUGCUAUAUUGGUUGUUGUUCUUGUUUGUUUUUCACUCAAAUUAGUUGGGAUCAGAUAUAUGAAUCGACUUUGUCUAUUUCAGAGAACUCAGAGUUCCGCUUUUUCUAUGGUUGUCAAAAGAUAUAAUUUUUGCAUAGGAUUAAGAAAAAUCCAAGUAGACAUUAAAUUUUCCUAUACGGACAUUCUUGAUUGCUUGAUUGAUUGGUUAAAGAAAGCUUACUUGGCAACUUUUGACCACCACCACCACCAAUAACUUACCCAGUGUAGUCCUCAUUGGGGUCUGUGGAGGGUACAAUGUACAUAAACCUUACCCCUACCUUUGUGGGGCAGAUAGUUUGUCUCCGAUAGACCCUUAGCUCGAAAGAGAAGUUUUUAAAGCAAGGAAAAUGCAAUAGAAAAAUAGCAAUAUCGCAAGAUACAAAGCAAAUGAAACAACAGAUAGUACCACACAUACAUUGAAGAACAAGAAACUAAGUGAAUGCUAACUAGUACUACCACUACUAAUAGGAGGGGAGUGAAUGAGGCCAACCCCUUGCCUCUUCCACACAUUGUAACACUUGACUACCUACUAACCGUCUACUCUAAUUCUCAACCUCCAUACCGUUCUAUCUAGGGUCAUCUCCUCAAUAAGCUAGAAUUGAGUCAUGUUAUGUCUAAUUAUCUCUCCCUAAUAACUUCUGCUCUACCACAAAGUAGGUAGGGUGAGCACAGAGGGUGGUGGGUGGCUCUGAUACCGUUGUUCGUUGAUACAAUCCAAGGAAAAUCUUAUCCCAAAAGAUAGCUAUUGAGGUCUGAGAACCCAAGGCUACAGAAACCUAAUGCCGAUGUGGAAAUCAAAUCUCGUACCCUGCGAUGGACAAUACCAAGUUCUCCCUUCUCGAGGCUUAAAGCUGAAACCUCUGACUAAAUACAGAGCCUACUAAGAGAAGUUCUUCAUUUCCAAGGCUCUAUGGUUAAGCGUGGAAGGAUCUCAUUUAUUCCACCUCACCUCUUGGUUAUUCUUGUUCUUAUUUGUUUUUCCCCUUAACUUAGCUGGGCUCAAUUGUUUGUAAUUUACAUUAGAUACUCUUUCUAAUUUGAAAAAAACUUGUUAUUGAAUAAAUUAUAAAUACUUGUAUGCUUAUAAAUUUUAUUUUUUUUAAAAAUAAAUAAUUUAAAUUACUUUUAAAUAUAUAAAGAUAUCAUUUUUUUAAAUUAAUUUAAAUUACAAAGUAUAUGAUAUAAAUUAGAAAGUCGUUUGGUUACAUUGAUGGGAUAUAUAGGAAUCUUUCAUGAGAUCCAUUAUCCCAC